rnacentral:lncRNA from 1 species
UUCUUUUUCUUUUUGUAGCAAUUUUUUACAAUUCUUUGGUUUAAAUGACUUUGUGAGGGUCACCUAUACCGGAGUUGCCUUUUUGCUUUCUUUUAUUUUUUUUGUUUUUCUGGAUCAUUCACUUAUUUGCAUCGGUCCCCUACGUAGAGGAUGCGUAGGGCGGAGCUGAUUGUUGAGAUAAACUACUAAGGACUUAGACGGAAAUGAUGACUAAGGCCAUGGUAU